UAGUAAUCGCAGAUCAGCAUGCUGUGGUGAAUACGUUCCCGGGCCUUGUACACACCGCCGUCACACCAUGGGAGUCGGUAACACCCAAAGUUGGUAGUCUAACCGCAAGGAGGACGCCGCCUAAGGUGGGAUUGAUGACUGGGGUGAAGUCGUAACAAGGUAAC
rnacentral:rRNA from 1 species